ensembl:snRNA
GUGUUGUAUUAAGAGAGAGGUUAGCAGUCUCCCUGAUGAGGAUGGAAGAGGCCCUCAGACCUGGCAACAUGCAGUCAAGGCAUUGCCAUUUACUUUGUGGCAUCUAACCACUCCUUGAU